rnacentral:rRNA from 1 species
CAGUAGCCGCGGGAAUACAGAGGGUGCGAGCGUUAAUCGGAUUUACUGGGCGUAAAGCGUGCGUAGGCGGCUUCUUAAGUCGGAUGUGAAAUCCCUGAGCUUAACUUAGGAAUUGCAUUCGAUACUGGAAAGCUAGAGUAUGGGAGAGGAUGGUAGAAUUCCAGGUGUAGCAGUGAAAUGCGUAUAGAUCGGAAGGAACAUCUGUGGCGAAGGCGACUAUCUGGGCCAACACUGACACUGAGGCACGAAAGCGUGGGGAGCAAACAGGAUUAGAUACCCCUGUAGUCCUGUCUCUUAUACU